rnacentral:rRNA from 1 species
UACGGGGGGGGUAAGCGUUGUUCGGAAUUACUGGGCGUAAAGCGCACGCAGGCGGUUUGUUAAGUCAGAUGUGAAAUCCCCGCGCUUAACGUGGGAACUGCAUUUGAAACUGGCAAGCUAGAGUCUUGUAGAGGGGGGUAGAAUUCCAGGUGUAGCGGUGAAAUGCGUAGAGAUCUGGAGGAAUACCGGUGGCGAAGGCGGCCCCCUGGACAAAGACUGACGCUCAGGUGCGAAAGCGUGGGGAGCAAACAGG